CAGUCGCCGCGGUAAUACAUAGGGUGCAAGCGUUAAUCGGAAUUACUGGGCGUAAAGCGUGCGCAGGCGGUCCGCUAAGACAGAUGUGAAAUCCCCGGGCUUAACCUGGGAACUGCAUUUGUGACUGGCAAGCUAGAGUAUGGCAGAGGGGGGUGGAAUUCCGCGUGUAGCAGUGAAAUGCGUAGAUAUGCGGAGGAACACCGAUGGCGAAGGCGGCCCCCUGGGCCAAUACUGACGCUCAUGCACGAAAGCGGGGGGAGCAAACAGGAUUAGAUACCCGAGUAGUCCCUGUCUCUUAUAC
rnacentral:rRNA from 1 species